rnacentral:rRNA from 1 species
UACACCGCUGGCGACCGGCGCACGGGUGAGUAACACGUAUCCAACCUGCCCUUUACUCGGGGAUAGCCUUUCGAAAGAAAGAUUAAUACCCGAUGGUAUAACAUGACCUCCUGGUUUUGUUAUUAAAGAAUUUCGGUAGAGGAUGGGGAUGCGUUCCAUUAGGCAGUUGGCGGGGUAACGGCCCACCAAACCUUCGAUGGAUAGGGGUUCUGAGAGGAAGGUCCCCCACAUUGGAACUGAGACACGGUCCAAACUCCUACGGGAGGCAGCAGUGAGGAAUAUUGGUCAAUGGGCGAGAGCCUGAACCAGCCAAGUAGCGUGAAGGAUGACUGCCCUAUGGGUUGUAAACUUCUUUUAUAAAGGAAUAAAGUCGGGUAUGCAUACCCGUUUGCAUGUACUUUAUGAAUAAGGAUCGGCUAACUCCGUGCCAGCAGCCGCGGUAAUACGGAGGAUCCGAGCGUUAUCCGGAUUUAUUGGGUUUAAAGGGAGCGUAGAUGGAUGUUUAAGUCAGUUGUGAAAGUUUGCGGCUCAACCGUAAAAUUGCAGUUGAUACUGGAUGUCUUGAGUGCAGUUGAGGCAGGCGGAAUUCGUGGUGUAGCGGUGAAAUGCUUAGAUAUCACGAAGACUCCGAUUGCGAAGGCAGCCUGCUAAGCUGCAACUGACAUUGAGGCUC